UGUUAAAAAUUUCAUUCAUUUAUACUGUUAAAAGUUGGCGUGAUUGAGAGAAUAACCAGAUAAUGAUACAUGGUGUGUCAUGUGUACCCCAUACUAAUGUAUAGGGACCAAUAUUUAACAAUAGAAUGGAUGGGAUUUUUAAUA
rfam:Gossypium hirsutum cultivar TM-1 chromosome 19, whole genome shotgun sequence